GACGAGUCCUUUACUGACGCUAAAGCUCGAAGGUGCGGGUAUCGAACAGGAUUAGAUACCUGGUAGUCCGCACGGUAAACGAUGGAUGCCCGCUGUUGGCGAUACAAUGUCAGCGGCCAAGCGAAAGCGUUAAGCAUCCCACCUGGGGAGUACGCCGGCAACGGUGAAACUCAAAGGAAUUGACGGGGGCCCGCACAAGCGGAGGAACAUGUGGUUUAAUUCGAUGAUACGCGAGGAACCUUACCCGGGCUUGAACUGCCAGCGAACGAUACAGAGAUGUUGAGGCCCUUCGGGGCGCUGGUGGAGGUGCUGCAUGGUUGUCGUCAGCUCGUGCCGUGAGGUGUCGGCUUAAGUGCCAUAACGAGCGCAACCCCUUUCUUCAGUUGCCAUCAGGCAAAGCUGGGCACUCUGGAGACACUGCCGCCGUAAGGUGCGAGGAAGGUGGGGAUGACGUCAAAUCAGCACGGCCCUUACGUCCGGGGCUACACACGUGUUACAAUGGGUGGUACAGAGAGUCGGCCGUCCGCAAGUGCGGUCCAAUCAGGAAAGCCAUCCUCAGUUCGGAUUGGGGUCUGCAACCCGACCCCAUGAAGCUGGAUUC
rnacentral:rRNA from 1 species